AUUGAACGCUGGCGGCAGGCCUAACACAUGCAAGUCGAACGGUAGCACAGAGGAGCUUGCUCCUUGGGUGACGAGUGGCGGACGGGUGAGUAAUGUCUGGGAAACUGCCCGAUGGAGGGGGAUAACUACUGGAAACGGUAGCUAAUACCGCAUAAUGUCGCAAGACCAAAGAGGGGGACCUUCGGGCCUCUUGCCAUCGGAUGUGCCCAGAUGGGAUUAGCUAGUAGGUGGGGUAACGGCUCACCUAGGCGACGAUCCCUAGCUGGUCUGAGAGGAUGACCAGCCACACUGGAACUGAGACACGGUCCAGACUCCUACGGGAGGCAGCAGUGGGGAAUAUUGCACAAUGGGCGCAAGCCUGAUGCAGCCAUGCCGCGUGUAUGAAGAAGGCCUUCGGGUUGUAAAGUACUUUCAGCGAGGAGGAAGGUGUUGUGGUUAGUAACCGCAGCAAUUGACGUUACUCGCAGAAGAAGCACCGGCUAACUCCGUGCCAGCCGCCGCAGUAAGAC
rnacentral:rRNA from 1 species